rnacentral:rRNA from 1 species
UACGUAGGGGGCGAGCGUUGUCCGGAUUUAUUGGGCGUAAAGAGCGUGUAGGCGGCCAGGUAGGUCUGCUGUGAAAACUCGAGGCUCAACCUCGAGACGUCGGCGGAAACCAUCUGGCUAGAGUCCGGAAGAGGAGAGUGGAAUUCCUGGUGUAGCGGUGAAAUGCGCAGAUAUCAGGAGGAACACCAAUUGCGAAGGCAGCUCGCUGGGACGUUACUGACGCUGAGACGCGAAAGCGUGGGGAGCAAACAGG